GGCCCGUUAGCUCAGUUGGUUAGAGCGUCGUGCUAAUAACGCGAAGGUCGUGGGUCUGGAUCCCCUCACGGGCCA
rnacentral:tRNA from 1 species